AAGAUCUAUACCAUUAACAGUUAAAUAAAUGGACCAAUCGAUCCCGUUGCUCUGGACGGCGACCAGUGAAGGAUAUUAGAAGCACUUUUCCGGUGAUGGCUGAUCGUUACUGCGCAACCUCCAACUGAGCUUGAAGACAUAGAU